CAGCAGCUCCAACUCUUUAUAGGCUGCAAUUAAGGCCAGGAAGUUGUACGGGGAAAGUUUAGCAGUUUCUGCAGACUCUGAUGUCACUGCACACCCCUUGGAGAGGCAGACAGCAAAGAGGAGGGGAAGAUACAUGGGAAUGGAAUUAUCUUUCAAGUAACUGGAAGGCUUUUCCUCCUGAACCCAGAGGACAGUCAGUGAAAAUGGACUUUCUGAUAAUGCUGAGUUACAGCAUGGCAGCACCUGUUGGGUUUCAGAGAAAAUGUUCUUGUGGGUUCUGAUUUGCACUCUCAAGCCA